rnacentral:rRNA from 1 species
UACGUAGGGGGCUAGCGUUGUCCGGAAUCAUUGGGCGUAAAGAGCGUGUAGGCGGUCCGGUAAGUCCGCUGUGAAAGUCGGGGGCUCAACCCUCGAAAGCCGGUGGAAACCGUCUGGCCAGAGUCCGGAAGAGGAGAAUGGAAUUCCUGGUGUAGCGGUGAAAUGCGCAGAUAUCAGGAAGAACACCCGUGGCUAAGGCGGUUCUCGAGUACGGUACUGACGCUGAGACGCGAAAGCGUGGGGAGCGAACAGG